rnacentral:rRNA from 1 species
UGUAUAAUGGGUCAGCGACUUAUAUUCUGUAGCAAGGUUAACCGAAUAGGGGAGCCGAAGGGAAACCGAGUCUUAACUGGGCGUUAAGUUGCAGGGUAUAGACCCGAAACCCGGUGAUCUAGCCAUGGGCAGGUUGAAGGUUGGGUAACACUAACUGGAGGACCGAACCGACUAAUGUUGAAAAAUUAGCGGAUGACUUGUGGCUGGGGGUGAAAGGCCAAUCAAACCGGGAGAUAGCUGGUUCUCCCCGAAAGCUAUUUAGGUAGCGCCUCGUGAAUUCAUCUCCGGGGGUAGAGCACUGUUUCGGCAAGGGGGUCAUCCCGACUUACCAACCCGAUGCAAACUGCGAAUACCGGAGAAUGUUAUCACGGGAGACACACGGCGGGUGCUAACGUCCGUCGUGAAGAGGGAAACAACCCAGACCGCCAGCUAAGGUCCCAAAGUCAUGGUUAAGUGGGAAACGAUGUGGGAAGGCCCAGACAGCCAGGAUGUUGGCUUAGAAGCAGCCAUCAUUUAAAGAAAGCGUAAUAGCUCACUGGUCGAGUCGGCCUGCGCGGAAGAUGUAACGGGGCUAAACCAUGCACCGAAGCUGCGGCAGCGACGCUUAUGCGUUGUUGGGUAGGGGAGCGUUCUGUAAGCCUGCGAAGGUGUACUGUGAGGUAUGCUGGAGGUAUCAGAAGUGCGAAUGCUGACAUAAGUAACGAUAAAGCGGGUGAAAAGCCCGCUCGCCGGAAGACCAAGGGUUCCUGUCCAACGUUAAUCGGGGCAGGGUGAGUCGACCCCUAAGGCGAGGCCGAAAGGCGUAGUCGAUGGGAAACAGGUUAAUAUUCCUGUACUUGGUGUUACUGCGAAGGGGGGACGGAGAAGGCUAUGUUGGCCGGGCGACGGUUGUCCCGGUUUAAGCGUGUAGGCUGGUUUUCCAGGCAAAUCCGGAAAAUCAAGGCUGAGGCGUGAUGACGAGGCACUACGGUGCUGAAGCAACAAAUGCCCUGCUUCCAGGAAAAGCCUCUAAGCAUCAGGUAACAUCAAAUCGUACCCCAAACCGACACAGGUGGUCAGGUAGAGAAUACCAAGGCGCUUGAGAGAACUCGGGUGAAGGAACUAGGCAAAAUGGUGCCGUAACUUCGGGAGAAGGCACGCUGAUACGUAGGUGAAGUCCCUUGCGGAUGGAGCUGAAAUCAGUCGAAGAUACCAGCUGGCUGCAACUGUUUAUUAAAAACACAGCACUGUGCAAACACGAAAGUGGACGUAUACGGUGUGACGCCUGCCCGGUGCCGGAAGGUUAAUUGAUGGGGUUAGCGGUAACGCGAAGCUCUUGAUCGAAGCCCCGGUAAACGGCGGCCGUAACUAUAACGGUCCUAAGGUAGCGAAAUUCCUUGUCGGGUAAGUUCCGACCUGCACGAAUGGCGUAAUGAUGGCCAGGCUGUCUCCACCCGAGACUCAGUGAAAUUGAACUCGCUGUGAAGAUGCAGUGUACCCGCGGCAAGACGGAAAGACCCCGUGAACCUUUACUAUAGCUUGACACUGAACAUUGAGCCUUGAUGUGUAGGAUAGGUGGGAGGCUUUGAAGUGUGGACGCCAGUCUGCAUGGAGCCGACCUUGAAAUACCACCCUUUAAUGUUU